rfam:Sarcophilus harrisii ctg7180001846984, whole genome shotgun sequence.
ACAAAGGCUUUCUUUAAAGCCCUCUACAUUUAAAAUUUGUAUGUAG